rnacentral:lncRNA from 1 species
AUAAAGCUGAUGGCUUGAUUAGUCGCUCAAACUCUGGCUUAUAUCAUCUUACCAAAGCUUACCCUCAAUAUACAAAAAAUAGAGGUUAUGGAGGUUGCUUAGGUCAUGGUCAAUAACUGGGAAGGAAACCCAGGCUUCUCAGACACAAGACAUGCCAAACUUUUCAAAGUCAAGGCCAUCUCAUUUUCCUGCUUCUGUCUCUCUGAUAAAGCAUACUUUUGCUCUGUCACUAAUAGCCACUCUGCAAUACACUACCCUUGACCAGCUGCCCCCAGGUGUCCCCAUUGCCAGUGGGCCUGGUUGUCAUGAAACUACUGAUUAAAGAUUUUAAGACUGGCUUAGGCAAAACAUGCCAG